UACUAAUAUAAGAAAAACAAUAUCUCAACAUCAACUUUAGCUCCAAAAUAACAAAGUAAAUUUAUUUACUUAGUCAAGCUUUUUGGUGUUACUGGAUGUUUACAAUUUUAUUAAUAUAUAUCCUAAACACUGUCAAGUUUAUUUCUAAGUAUCUCAUAAAUACUGUUGUUACUUUUGUGAGUAAUUUUUUGUUAUGUUUUCUAACUCUAUAAACUGAUGGUGUUCAAGAAUACUACUGAUUUUAUUUAGUUUAUAACCUUAAAUUUUUGCUCCAUGAAAGAAUUCAUUUUUUCAGCAAAUAGGUAUUAAGCACCUACUGUUUAAGUGGUAAGAAUAACAACAGUGGAAAAAAAUCUUUCACCAUGGAGGUUUCAUUCUAAUGCAUGAGAGGGGGAAUAAAAGAUACAUGAAAUGUGCUGUAUGGAAAAGCAGGGAACGAAAGAGGAAAAUAAACGGGGGUGGGAAAGGAUUUGCAAUAUCAAAAUAGGUUGCCAAGGAAGUCCUCAUUGAGAAGAUUACAUUUACAGAAAAACCCAAAGAAGAUGAAAGAAGGAUCUACAUAACUACCUGACAAAAGGACAAUACAAAAACAAAAAAAGAAACAAGAAGUAAGGCUCAGAGGCAGGAGCCUUGUCUGGUAUAUUCAAGGAAUCCGGAUUAGCUGGAGUAAUCAAGGGAAGAGCAGUUGGGCAGGUGGUAGAGGGUCAGACUUUUUUAGUCUAAGAGAUGGGAAGCCACUGGGACAUUUUAUUAAGAAAAGGUUGUGACGUAAUUCUUCAUUCAACAAGUAUUGGGUGACACUCAUUGUUGGAGAUACAGCAAAGAAUAAAGACAAAAAUCCCUGCUCUCAUGAAGCGUAUUACAUGUUAGUAGGAGAGAAACACAAUAAAGAAAAACAGUCAUUUAAAAAAUAUUUUUUGUUAGUACGUGGUAACUGCUAUGGGAAAAACGGAAGGCAAUAGAGAGUGCUAAAACAGAAAAUGCAAAACUGAGUUAGGUGUCUAGACUAGGCUUUACUGAUCCAGUAACACCUCAGCAAAGACAAGUGAGGCAAUUAACAGGAAAAUCAGAAUGCUACUGUAGCCAGAUUUAAGCAAUUGACUAGGCUAGAGUAAUAUGGUAUGUAAUCAGAGAGGGCUAGUUAGAUCAUGGAGGGCCUUUAGGACAUUAUAAUGGCUUGUGCUUUUACUCGGAAUGAAAUGGGGAAGCACUACAAGUUUUUGAGCAAAAAGUGACAUGCUUUCACUUACAUCUUUAAAUACACCCUCCCUCUGUUAGCAUAGGUAGCUAGGUAGUUACUCAUAAAGGAAGGGAGCAAAUGGAAUUAGACAUUAAGACUAAUAAACUAGGGAGCUGAAUCGGACAUUAAGUCUGAUUCACUAGGAAGCCACAACAUUCACAGGCUCCCCAGGGGACAAUCACAUUCUCCACUGAGGGGACUUCAUCCUCCACACAGCCAGGAAGAAUUGGCCUACCAGUCAUUAGCUAAGAGAGGAAUAAAAACAGAAGAAAGUCUUUUGCUAGGCACAUGCACAGUGGAAAUCAGAUGACGCAGCAAAAAUUCAGGGCAUGUACAGUAGGAGCCAAAAUGACACAAAAGGGCGCCUGGAAAACAAGGGAAAAAGAUUGGAUUGGUUAGGGAGAGGGCCCAGCACAAUCCUGUGAAAAAUUAGAAAAGAGAUUGGUUAUUUUGAAAGAAACCCUGCUCUCACCAAAGCCCAAAGCAAUGUAAUCAAAGCUUAAAGGUCUGUCUGGGUAGCAUGUGCUUGCCUGAUCAUUUCAGCACUCUUCUUUCCAUAGCAACCAUGCUAACCUGGCAGCUGUGCAGCUCCAAGUGCAGACCUGAGUGCAGCAGAACAGCACUGGCCAGAGCACAGCUGGAGACAGAGUCUGAGGUAUACUAAGCUUUGGCAUGGACUGAACUGAACUAUAAAAGCUUUAGAUGCCCUGCUGGAUGCCAGGCCAAUAGCACAGAAUAGCUAGACUCUGGCCUUCCUGGGCUCCCUCCACAGCAAGACAAAGCUUAGCCAUCUAGUCUGGUCACAGAUGAGACACUAAGCACUUGGGGACAGUCUUUCAUUUUUGCUCCAAUAAAUCUUACCACUACACCUCAUCCUCCUAUGCAUGAGUACCUGAAAUGUUUUCCUCAUGACUUCACUGAAAAGACCAAUUUCUACUGGUAACACCUCUAGCUGCUCUCUUCAUAAAGCCAUAGGGAUUCAAGGGUAAUAGGAUAGAGUCUUGCUGGCAAGCUAUAUUAAUCUUGACAAGAGAUGGUAAUGACUUAAACUAUGGAAGAUAAAGAACUAGAAAAGACCGAGGAGUCAGAAGAUAACAUGGAAAAAACCCACACACAGUGAAUGUGGGGUACCUUGAAACUGAAGUGAAGGACAGACAUAUUUCCAAGAAUAACUGACAGAUCCAAUAAAAAUCAGAACAUCUAUCUGUUUGUUAGAUUUAGCAUUGUGGGGGGGUCUUUGGUAACCAUGCAACAGCAGUUUCUAUAAAGUGCAAGAGCAAAAAUAUGAUUGGAUUGGGUUUUAAAGAGAAUGGGCAGAGAGAUAUUUAAAACCAUGUAUAUAACAAGAGGGAAACAAAUAUGUGAGAAUCUGAGCUAGAAGAUAAGUGGCAUCAAAGUGGCUUUUAAAUGUGAAAAACAAUGGCAUCUUUUUGGUCUCAAAGGAAAUACAACAUUUUAAAGAGAUGAAAAGCUGUACACUCCUGAAGUUCAAUAUGUGUAUGUAUAAUAUCUCCUAGGCAAUAGCUACCAAGUUCUAAUGAAAUUUACUGAAUCAUUUCAUCGUUCAUCCUCUGAUGUGAAAUGCUACCCUUCUUAUAUAAUAAAUUUCUGUACAUAAACAAGGCUAUUGUUAGAUACUACAUUCUGGGUUAUAGAAUUUCUGUCUAUCCAUUCACCACUACCACAAGAUUCUGAUAACUUUAAGUUAAUUUUAUUAUCUAGUAAAUCUGAUCCCUUUGUCAUUGCUCUUUUCAGAAAUGUCUUGGAUUCUCUUAUCUUUCCAUACAAACUUUACAAGCAACUUAUCUAGUGCCAAGAAAUAAGUUACUUUGACUUAAAUUUGCAAAUACCCCAAAGAAGUGAAAGGAGGGAUUAAACAGAUAUUUACACACUGAUGUUAGCAGAACUACUCAUAAAUAGUCAAAAGAUGGAAGUAACUCCAUCGACAUCCAUCAAUAGAUGAACAAUAAAUAAAAUGUGGUAUAUAUGCAUACAAUGGAAUAUAUUCAGCUUUUAAAAGGAAGGAAAUUUUGACACGUUAUAACAUAGAUGAAUCUUGAAGACACUAUGCUAAAUAAGCCAGUCACAAAAAACGAAAUACUAUAUGAUUCAAUUUACAUGAAACAGGGGAAAACUGAGUAAGAUCCUAGAGUAGUCAAAUUCAUAGAAAGUAGAAUGGCAGUUGCUAAGGGUUACGGCAAGGGGAUAAUUGGCAGUCACUGUUUAACGGGUAAAGAAUUUCAGUU